rnacentral:sRNA from 1 species
AUAUUUUCCUAUGUGACUUCGUGGGGGUUUUGAGUCCUAGUUAAAAAAAUAUUUUAUCAACCACACAUUAAUUAAAAGAUGACUUCAUCAUUGGUUACCCAAUCUGGAGGAGAAGAGUUUACAUAUAUAGGAGACUUAAAAAAAUAAUAAUGUAGAAAAACGAGCUAAACAAUCCGUCCUAGUAUUACUCAAGUGAGAAAUAGAAGAGAUCGAAAAAGAGGAAAAAGAUCACGGAGCAAUCCAAACUCAUCUAGAAGAUUGGAGAAUGCGAGGCAUUCUUCAGGAGACUGCACCAUCGAGACUACCUCUAUGCAAUCAGAUUCAAACGUUUGACAGUCGAUCCUUCUUGAAAGGAUAUUCUUCAUACCCCAAAUUAAAGCUUCCAGCUCCGAGUGAAGGGGAGAAUGACACUCCGGAGGCACUUUACACCAAGGAGUACUGUUUGAUCAUUUUCUUGAAAAUACCAUCAUCCUAAUCCCAUGGUUGGGUCGGAAGAUAAUUUCCAUGAACUAUCAAUCCUACAUCUAAGAGAUUGUGUUGGGACUAGUGUAAAAAUUAAUACUCGAUAAAUUAAUAACCUCUAUAAAUUAAUAAAUUUUUCUAGUCCCGAGUUGGGACUAGUGUAAAAAUUGAUACAAAUCGAUAAAUUAAAAAGAUAAUAAUUUUUUUGAAAAUCCUGUGUAAAUAUAUGAUCCCAUCAAUAUUAUAAAUUAAUAAUUAU